UUGGAGAGGUGAGAGAAAAAGAGAGUGUCGGGGUGGGACGUUUGAUAAAAUUGCUGUCACACGAAUUCUCAUUUUUCCUUGUCGCUUG